rnacentral:rRNA from 1 species
AACGAACGCUGGCGGCAGGCUUAACACAUGCAAGUCGAGCGCCUCGCAAGAGGAGCGGCAGACGGGUGAGUAACGCGUGGGAACGUACCCUUAUCUUCGGAAUAGCUCUGGGAAACUGGAAGUAAUACCGAAUGUGCCCUUAGGGGGAAAGAUUUAUCGGAUAAGGAUCGGCCCGCGUUGGAUUAGCUAGUUGGUGGGGUAAAGGCCUACCAAGGCGACGAUCCAUAGCUGGUCUGAGAGGAUGAUCAGCCACAUUGGGACUGAGACACGGCCCAAACUCCUACGGGAGGCAGCAGUGGGGAAUAUUGGACAGUGGGCGCAAGCCUGAUCCAGCCAGGCCGCGUGAGUGAUGAAGGCCUUAGGGUUGUAAAGCUCUUUCAUCAGAGAAGAUAAUGACGGUAUCCGGAGAAGAAGCCACGGCUAACUUCGUG